rnacentral:rRNA from 1 species
GCAGCUAACGCAUUAAGCACUCCGCCUGGGGAGUACGACCGCAAGGUUGAAACUCAAAGGAAUUGACGGGGGCCCGCACAAGCGGUGGAGCAUGUGGUUUAAUUCGAAGCAACGCGAAGAACCUUACCAGGUCUUGACAUCCUUUGACCACUCUAGAGAUAGAGCUUCCCCUUCGGGGGCAAAGUGACAGGUGGUGCAUGGUUGUCGUCAGCUCGUGUCGUGAGAUGUUGGGUUAAGUCCCGCAACGAGCGCAACCCUUAUUGUUAGUUGCCAUCAUUUAGUUGGGCACUCUAGCGAGACUGCCGGUGACAAACCGGAGGAAGGUGGGGAUGACGUCAAAUCAUCAUGCCCCUUAUGACCUGGGCUACACACGUGCUACAAUGGGAAGUACAACGAGUCGCGAAGUCGCGAGGCUAAGCUAAUCUCUUAAAGCUUCUCUCAGUUCGGAUUGUAGGCUGCAACUCGCCUACAUGAAGUCGGAAUCGCUAGUAAUCGCGGAUCAGCACGCCGCGGUGAAUACGUUCCCGGGCCUUGUACACACCGCCCGUCACACCACGAGAGUUUGUAACACCCGAAGUCGGUGAGGUAACCUUUUGGAGCCAGCCGCCUAAGGUGGGAUAGAUGAUUGGGGUGAAGUCGUAACAAGGUAGCCGUAUCGGAAGGUGCGGCUG